UGGGGAAUAUUGCACAAUGGGCGCAAGCCUGAUGCAGCCAUGCCGCGUGUGUGAAGAAGGCCUUCGGGUUGUAAAGCACUUUCAGCGAGGAGGAAGGGUAGUGUGUUAAUAGCACAUUGCAUUGACGUUACUCGCAGAAGAAGCAUCGGCUAACUCCGUGCCAGCAGUCGCGGUAAUACGGAGGGUGCAAGCGUUAAUCGGAAUUACUGGGCGUAAAGCGCACGCAGGCGGUUUGUUAAGUCAGAUGUGAAAUCCCCGCGCUUAACGUGGGAACUGCAUUUGAAACUGGCAAGCUAGAGUCUUGUAGAGGGGGGUAGAAUUCCAGGUGUAGCGGUGAAAUGCGUAGAGAUCUGGAGGAAUACCGGUGGCGAAGGCGGCCCCCUGGACAAAGACUGACGCUCAGGUGCGAAAGCGUGGGGAGCAAACA
rnacentral:rRNA from 1 species